rnacentral:rRNA from 1 species
CCUAUGGGUGGCUGCAGUGGGGAAUAUUGGACAAUGGGGGGAACCCUGAUCCAGCCAUGCCGCGUGUGUGAAGAAGGCCCUCGGGUUGUAAAGCACUUUCAGUGAGGAAGAACGCCUGGUGGUUAAUACCCAUCAGGAAAGACAUCACUCACAGAAGAAGCACCGGCUAACUCCGUGCCAGCAGCCGCGGUAAUACGGAGGGUGCGAGCGUUAAUCGGAAUUACUGGGCGUAAAGCGCGCGUAGGUGGCUUGAUAAGCCGGUUGUGAAAGCCCCGGGCUCAACCUGGGAACGGCAUCCGGAACUGUCAAGCUAGAGGGCAGGAGAGGAAGGUAGAAUUCCCGGUGUAGCGGUGAAAUGCGUAGAGAUCGGGAGGAAUACCAGUGGCGAAGGCGGCCUUCUGGACUGACACUGAAACUGAGGUGCGAAAGCGUGGGUAGCAAACAGGACUAGAUACCCUAGUAGUC